rnacentral:rRNA from 1 species
AGAGUUUGAUCCUGGCUCAGAAUCAACGCUGGCGGCGUGCCUCAGACAUGCAAGUCGAACGAUUAAGACUCUCUUCGGAGAGUGUAUAGAGUGGCGCACGGGUGAGUAACACGUAGGUAAUUUGCCUUCGGGUGGGGAAUAACUUGGGGAAACCCAAGCUAAUACCGCAUAAUGCAGCGGCACCAAAUGGUGACAGUUGUUAAAGCUUUAUGUGCCUGAAGAGAAGCCUGCGGUGGAUUAGGUAGUUGGUAAGGUAAUGGCUUACCAAGCCUGCGAUCCAUAUCCGGUCUUAGAGGACGGUCGGACACACUGACACUGAAUAACGGGUCAGACUCCUACGGGAGGCAGCAGUCGGGAAUUUUGGGCAAUGGGCGAAAGCCUGACCCAGCAACGCCGCGUGAAGGAUGAAGUCCUUCGGGAUGUAAACUUCGGAAGAAUGGGAAGAAUAAAUGACGGUACCAUUUUUAAGCCCCGGCUAACUCCGUGCCAGCAGCCGCGGUAAUACGGAGGGGGCAAGCGUUGUUCGGAUUUACUGGGCGUAAAGGGCGCGUAGGCGGCGUGACAAGUCACUUGUGAAAUCUCCGGGCUUAACUCGGAACUGCCAAGUGAUACUGUCGUGCUAGAGUGCAGAAGGGGCAAUCGGAAUUCUUGGUGUAGCGGUGAAAUGCGUAGAUAUCAAGAGGAACACCAGAGGCGAAGGCGGAUUGCUGGGCUGACACUGACGCUGAGGCGCGAAAGCUAGGGUAGCAAACGGGAUUAGAUACCCCCGUAGUCC